AUGCUUGGACGAAUCUUGCACUUCCCUCGUGGGAAUAAGAAUCACGUAGUACUAGACGUACAAAUAUGGAGUUCUGACUCACUGCAUACACAUACACAUACACAUACAUGCACAUACACACACACAUACACAUACACAUACACAUACACAUACACAUACACAUACACAUACACAUACACAUACACAUACACAUACACACACACAUACACAUACACACAUAUA